ACUGGACUAGUGCACAACUCAUGAAAACAUCUGCUCUGAACUGAGUUCUCAGAGUUCCGUACAGGACGGGCAGAUCUUGAAUUAUUCCAGCAGUUAGCUCUUGAUUUUUUUUUUCGGACCUUAAACAUGCUUUUAAACAUCAAGAGUGUAGAGAUCAUUCCUUAGGUUUUCUUCAAAUACCUAUGGAAUACCUUUACAUUCUCUUAAUUGAAACACUGUCUUUAACAGAAUGAAAUUCAAGAAAUGAAAUGUAGUAACUCCAGUGAGGGUGUAUCAUCUCAUCAGUGGCCUGCUAAAAGCUGUGGAACAGAUGGUUCAGAUGGUUCUCAGAGAGCACAAAAUCUUCAGGAAGCUCCCUUAACAGUAGGCGUCACAAGCAAGACUGAAUUGGAAAGUGAAAGUGCUGCUACUAUGGAAGCUCAACCAACUCCUGGGGAGAAAAAUACAGGACAGCCUCUGCAGGUUCUUUCUGCAUCUCCCCGGGGCACUGGCAGCAGUGCUGAAGACACUCUGACAGAAGUUAAAAUUCAAAAUAUGAAACUCCAGGAACAAGAAGGCGCUCUAAGGGAGCGAGAGGCCUCUCUGGAUAAACUAAAAGAGGAGAAGGAUGCAGAACUGAAAAAGCUUGAAACGUCACUGAG
ensembl:lncRNA